ACGAACGCUGGCGGCGUGCUUAACACAUGCAAGUCGAACGGAAAGGCCCUGCUUUUGUGGGGUGCUCGAGUGGCGAACGGGUGAGUAACACGUGAGUAACCUGCCCUUGACUUUGGGAUAACUUCAGGAAACUGGGGCUAAUACCGGAUAGGAGCUCCUGCUGCAUGGGGGGGGUUGGAAAGUUUCGGCGGUUGGGGAUGGACUCGCGGCUUAUCAGCUUGUUGGUGGGGUAGUGGCUUACCAAGGCUUUGACGGGUAGCCGGCCUGAGAGGGUGACCGGCCACAUUGGGACUGAGAUACGGCCCAGACUCCUACGGGAGGCAGCAGUGGGGAAUAUUGCACAAUGGGCGGAAGCCUGAUGCAGCAACGCCGCGUGCGGGAUGACGGCCUUCGGGUUGUAAACCGCUUUCGCCUGUGACGAAGCGUGAGUGACGGUAAUGGGUAAAGAAGCACCGGCUAACUACGUG
rnacentral:rRNA from 1 species